CACAGAUUGGCUAAUGUGUGUUUUGUCGGUUUUAUCCUUGGGGAGUGCUGCCCCCUAAAAAUAACGCGUUAGCCAAUCUGUGACUUGCUCAAGAAACACAAGUGUUGAGAGGAGUCCACCAUAGGAAAAAAGAUGAGACAAGAGAAUAAAGAGAUAAGAGAAUAAGAUAAAGGUUGAUCGCGAUCUGUUCCUCUGUAGAGUAGUAAGUGAAAUAAGUGAUGAGAGGACAUCAUAGGAGCUGAAAAGCGUGGAUCCAUUUCUGUGUCUGAAAGCUGUGUGUGUGUCUGUCAGCUGUGUGUGUGUCUGUCAGCUGUGUGUGUAAGCCUCUGCCGCUGAGCAGAUGUUACCUGUGUGCUCUUCUCCGUUUAUUGCAAUGUCUUUUAAAAACUAUGGUAAACAUUGGGAAAUUAUAAUCUGUGGGAAGGUUCUUUAUUUCAUCUGUGGUCUUUGACUUUCUCGCCGCCGCGCGAGCAAAAUCUUUCCGUUGUGUGUGAUUUCCUCGCCGCUGAGCGAGCAAAAAAAAAAAAAAGGGAUAAGAGAAAAGAAGUGAUUUCGGGCCUAAAUUUUGAACCUAAACAAAUGGAGGGUGAAUCUGAAAAGGAAAAAUAUGAUCCAAAGUGGGGCAUCGGGCCAUGGAUUGGGCUCGGUGAGCAAAUAGAAGCAUUAAUAACCUAUUUGUCAAAGCAUGACGAAUAUGAAAAUAAGGGAGAAAGAGAAAAACAAAAAAAAAAGGGGCUAGAAUACCUGGUGCAGAAAGGAGGCGACCUGUUAAACAGACAGCCUUUGGGGAAUAUUGGCUGGAAGCAAUAAUUGACGCUGAGGGAAAACUGGUUGAAACUCAAAUAAUCCUGCAUCAUUCACUAUAUUCACAUGUGGUAAAAUUAACUGUAUGAAGGAUGAAUGAAA